GGUGAACGCUGGCGGUGGGCCUAACACAUGCAAGUCGAACGGAAGGACGGUAAGAGCUUGCUCUUAAGGGUGGCGAGUGGCGGGCGGGUGAGGAAUAGAUCGGAAUCUAAUUUUUCGGGGGGGAUAACGUAGGGAAACUUAUGCUAAUACCGAAUACGAUCUACGGGAGAAAGCAGGGGAGCUACGGAGCUUGCGCGAUUGAAUGAGCCGGUGCCGGAUUAGCUAGUUGGCGGGGUAAAGGAACACCAAGGCGACGAUACGUAGCUGACCUGAGAGGAUGAUCGGCCACACUGGAACUGAGACACGGUCCAGACUCCUACGGGAGGCAGCAGUAGGGAAUCUUGCACAAUGGGCGCAAGCCUGACCCAGCCAUACCGCGUGAGUGAUGAAGGUCUUCGGGUCGUAAAGCCCUUUUGUUGGGAAAGAAAAGCUGCAUGUUAAUCCCCCGCUGUUCUGACGGUACCCAAAGAGUAAGCCCCGGCUAACUUCGUG
rnacentral:rRNA from 1 species